rnacentral:rRNA from 1 species
GACGAACGCUGGCGGCGUGCUUAACACAUGCAAGUCGAGCGGUAAGGCCCUUUCGGGGGUACACGAGCGGCGAACGGGUGAGUAACACGUGGGUGACCUGCCCUCAGCUCUGGGAUAAGCCUGGGAAACCGGGUCUAAUACCGGAUAUGACUCCAUGACGCAUGUUGUGGGGUGGAAAGCCUUGUGCGGCUGAGGAUGGGCCCGCGGCCUAUCAGCUUGUUGGUGGGGUGAUGGCCACCAAGGCGACGACGGGUAGCCGGCCUGAGAGGGCGACCGGCCACACUGGGACUGAGACACGGCCCAGACUCCUACGGGAGGCAGCAGUGGGGAAUCUUGCGCAAUGGGCGGAAAGCCUGACGCAGCGACGCCGCGUGAGGGAUGACGGCCU